rnacentral:lncRNA from 1 species
CUCCAAUGGGUUCCGCUGCCAACAAUGGCCCCAAAACGACCCCAAAUGGCCCCAAAAGGACCCCAAAUUCGACCCCAAAUGGCCCUAAAAUGGCCCUAUAAGGUUCUGGUGGGUCCAAUGGGGUCAAAUGGACCCAAAGUGGCCCUAAAAUGGCCCCAAUGGGGUCAAAAUGGCACCCGAGUGGCCCCAAAAGAACUCCGAUGGGUUCCACUGCCAACAAUGGCCCCAAAACGACCCCAAAUGGCCCCCAAAGGACCCCAAAUUCGACCCCAAAUGGCCCUAUAGGGUUCUGGUGGGCCCAAUGGGGUCAAAUGAACCCCAAGUGGUCCCAAUGGGGUCAAAAUGGCACCAGAGUGGCCCCAAAGGAUCUCCUAUGGGUUCCAGUGUCACCAAUGGCCCCAAAAUGGCCCCAGAACGACCCCAAAUUCAACCCCAAACGGCCCUAAAAUGGCCCUAUAGGGUUCUGGUGGGUCCAAUGGGGUCAAAUGGACCCAAAAUGGCCCCAAUGGGGUCAAAAUGGCACCCGAGUGGCCCCAAAAGAACUCCGAUGGGUUCCGCUGUCAACAAUGGCCCCAAAAUGGCCCCAAACGGCCCCAAAACGACCCCAAAUGGCCCCGAAUUGGCCCUAUAGGGUUCUGGUGGCCCCAACGGGGUCAAAAUGGCACCCGAG